rnacentral:antisense_RNA from 1 species
GUCUAUGGCGGGCCGUGCAGGGAGGGCGCAAGCCCUGCCGGUCCUAGCCCGGUCUUCCAACCCCGCACGGUCUGCCACCCCU